GCCCGGCACGGUGGCUCAUGCCUGUAAUCCCAGCACUUUGGGAGGCCGAGGCGGGCAGAUCACGAGGUCAGGAGUUCGAGACCAGCCUGGCCAACAUGGUGAAACCCCGUCUUUACUAAAAAUACAAAAAUUAGCCAGGCAUGGUGGGUGCCUGUAAUCACAGCUACUAAGGAGGCUGAGGUAGGAGAAUCACUUGAACCCAGGAGGCUAAAUUUUGUAUUUUUAGUAGAGAUGGAGUUUUGCCAUGUUGGCCAGGCUGGUCUCGAACUCCCGACCUCAGGUGAUCCACCUGUCUCGGC
rnacentral:SRP_RNA from 2 species